rnacentral:rRNA from 1 species
AGAGUUUGAUCCUGGCUCAGAGCGAACGCUGGCGGCAGGCCUAAUACAUGCAAGUCGAGCGCCGUAGCAAUACGGAGCGGCAGACGGGAGAGUAACACGUGGGAACGUACCCUUCAGUUCGGAACAACCCAGGGAAACUUGGGCUAAUACCGGAUACGUCCGUAAGGAGAAAGAUUUAUCGCUGAAGGAUCGGCCCGCGUCUGAUUAGCUUGUUGGUGAGGUAACGGCUCACCAAGGCGACGAUCAGUAGCUGGUCUGAGAGGAUGAUCAGCCUCACUGGGACUGAGACACGGCCCAGACUCCUACGGGAGGCAGCAGUAGGGAAUAUUGGACAAUGGGCGCAAGCCUGAUCCAGCCAUGCCGCGUGGGUGAUGAAGGCCCUAGGGUUGUAAAGCCCUUUCGGCGGGGAAGAUAAUGACGGUACCCGCAGAAGAAGCCCCGGCUAACUUCGUGCCAGCAGCCGCGGUAAUACGAAGGGGGCUAGCGUUGCUCGGAAUCACUGGGCGUAAAGCGCACGUAGGCGGCUUUUUAAGUCAGGGGUGAAAUCCUGGAGCUCAACUCCAGAACUGCCUUUGAUACUGAGAAGCUUGAGUCCGGGAGAGGUGAGUGGAACUGCGAGUGUAGAGGUGAAAUUCGUAGAUAUUCGCAAGAACACCAGUGGCGAAGGCGGCUCACUGGCCCGGUACUGACGCUGAGGUGCGAAAGCGUGGGGAGCAAACAGGAUUAGAUACCCUAGUAGUCC